GACGAACGCUGGCGGCGCGCUUAACACAUGCAAGUUGAACGGAAAGGCCCUGCUUUUGUGGGGUGCUCGAGUGGCGAACGGGUGAGUAACACGUGAGUAACCUGCCCUUGACUUUGGGAUAACUUCAGGAAACUGGGGCUAAUACCGGAUAGGAGCUCCUGCUGCAUGGUGGGGGUUGGAAAGUUUCGGCGGUUGGGGCUGGACUCGCGGCUUAUCAGCUUGUUGGUGGGGUAGUGGCUUACCAAGGCUUUGACGGGUAGCCGGCCUGAGAGGGUGACCGGCCACAUUGGGACUGAGAUACGGCCCAGACUCCUACGGGAGGCAGCAGUGGGGAAUAUUGCACAAUGGGCGGAAGCCUGAUGCAGCAACGCCGCGUGCGGGAUGACGGCCUUCGGGUUGUAAACCGCUUUCGCCUGUGACGAAGCGUGAGUGACGGUAAUGGGUAAAGAAGCACCGGCUAACUACGUG
rnacentral:rRNA from 1 species